AAACUAAAGCUAUAAGGGCAGUAAAUGAAUUUGGUUCUGGUUUUUUUAAUUAAGUAUUAUUGAGGCUUAUACAUGCUAGCUAAUCCUGGCGUCACGGUGAGGACCCGCAUGAGCAUUAUACUUAAGUAAAAUAAAGAAUAAUUCUUGUAAACGGAAAAAUUAAUUUUAUGUGUAAAUAUAAAAAUAAUUGUUGUCAAAUUAUGCGUCACAAACUGCAGUAAUGAGUGCUUAUCCAUAACUUAAGGGUUGAAUAGAUCAAGGGUUAAUUAUGAACUGGGCUAAGAAUAUUCGUGCCAGCAGUCGCGGUUAUACGAACUUGGUUCUCUUAAUAAAGUAAGCGGCUUAUCGUGGAAACAUGUGUUAAGCUUGUUCCUAAUAAAUUUUGGGUUUUCAGGGUGAAAUCUGAACUUUUCUUGAGAAAGGAGCAUACGUGGAGCCCACUGAAUUUUAGGCGAAGACCCGGAUUAGAUACCCGGUUAUUCUUUAUAACAAAAAGAUAAUGCCCGUGGAGUAUUAGGGUUUCCUUAAGAAACAAAGAACUUGGCGGUUGUCUAUUUCUGACUAGGGGAGCCUGCCUAAAGAAAAUGAUAAUCCGCAGAAUACCUGACCUUUAUUUGAAACUUUUUCAGCCUCUAUAUCAUCGUCACUAAGUUUUCAUCGCAAGCUGGAAGGCUAUAGAGUUGUAAAAGGGACUAUAUGUCAGAUCGAGAUGGAGCUUAUAUAAGGGGGAGGGUGGGCUACAAUAGCUUUCUAGCUACUUUGGUUUGGAUCUUACUAUGAAAUUUUUAGUAGGUGAAAUAGGACUUAGUAAUAAUUAAGUAGGAGAAAGACUUAAUGAAAUUAGCUCUAGGCUUCGUACACAUCGCCCGUCACCUGCGGGGUAAAACCUGGAGUAAGUCGUAACAUAGUAGGCGUACCGGAAGGUGUGGCCUAGAAAA
rnacentral:ncRNA from 1 species